rnacentral:rRNA from 1 species
UACGUGGGUCCCGAGCGUUGUCCGGAUUUAUUGGGCGUAAAGCGGGCGCAGGUGGUUUAUUAAGUCUGGUGUAAAAGGCAGUGGCUCAACCAUUGUAUGCAUUGGAAACUGGUAGACUUGAGUGCAGGAGAGGAGAGUGGAAUUCCAUGUGUAGCGGUGAAAUGCGUAGAUAUAUGGAGGAACACCGGUGGCGAAAGCGGCUCUCUGGCCUGUAACUGACACUGAGGCUCGAAAGCGUGGGGAGCAAACAGG